GACGAACGCUGGCGGCGUGCCUAAUACAUGCAAGUAGAACGCACAGUUUAUACCGUAGCUUGCUACACCAUAGACUGUGAGUUGCGAACGGGUGAGUAACGCGUAGGUAACCUGCCUGGUAGCGGGGGAUAACUAUUGGAAACGAUAGCUAAUACCGCAUAAUAUUAAUUAUUGCAUGAUAAUUAAUUGAAAGGUGCAAUUGCACCACUACCAGAUGGACCUGCGUUGUAUUAGCUAGUAGGUGAGGUAACGGCUCACCUAGGCGACGAUACAUAGCCGACCUGGAAGGGUGAUCGGCCACACUGGGAAUGAGACACGGCCCAGACUCCUACGGGAGGGAGCAGGAGGGAAACUUCGGCAAUGGACGAAAGGCUGACCGAGCAACGCCGCGUGAGUGAAGAAGGUUUUCGGAUCGUAAAGGUCUGUUGUAAGAGAAGAACGGGUGGGAGAGUGGAAAGUUCACACUGUGACGGUAUCUUACCAGAAAGGGACGGCUAACUACGUG
rnacentral:rRNA from 1 species